rnacentral:pre_miRNA from 1 species
GUUUUUUGGAUAAGCGCCGCUAAAGAUCAUGGUCUAUAGCGGCGUUGUAAAGAAAACGCCGCUAAAGCUCGUGAUCUUUAGCGGUGUUUAUUAUAGAAA